CCUACGGGAGGCAGCAGUGGGGAAUAUUGGGCAAUGGGCGCAAGCCUGACCCAGCAACGCCGCGUGAAGGAAGAAGGCUUUCGGGUUGUAAACUUCUUUUCUCAGGGACGAAGAAAGUGACGGUACCUGAGGAAUAAGCCACGGCUAACUACGUGCCAGCAGCCGCGGUAAUACGUAGGUGGCAAGCGUUAUCCGGAUUUACUGGGUGUAAAGGGCGGGUAGGCGGGAAAGCAAGUCAGAUGUGAAAACCAUGGGCUCAACCUGUGGCCUGCAUUUGAAACUGUUUUUCUUGAGUACUGGAGAGGCAGACGGAAUUCCUAGUGUAGCGGUGAAAUGCGUAGAUAUUAGGAGGAACACCAGUGGCGAAGGCGGUCUGCUGGACAGCAACUGACGCUGAGGCGCGAAAGCGUGGGGAGCAAACAGGAUUAGAUACCCCAGUAGUC
rnacentral:rRNA from 1 species